GCUGUCGCGAAAUCAGAUUGUCGAAUGACACUAAAGUACUGUAGCCUACUCCGGUUUACUUUUGUGUAUUAUAUUAUAGUCUACACAUCCAAGAGUCACUCUCAUUGAACAAAGACUCAAACGGCUAGUUGAAUCCAAGAAAAUGGUGGCUGUAUCGGUGAUUGCCAUGGCAGUUGGAACUGGCGGUCCGGCAAGAACCAGGCAGAUGUGUUCAUAUCCAGAGUUUUACCACCACCCAUAGUAUUAACACACAGACACACUCUUCAGUUAUUUAGAAAUAUACUUUUUCUAAACGGAAUAACUAACUUUUGAGGUAUGACAUGCUGUAUGUGAACCUAACAGUUGGAUAUUAAAUAUUACCCAUCUAAGAGAGAAGUUGUUGGGCUCAUCCUUAUAUCCAUGCCUUCCAGUACUAUUAGUAACUAAGCAUCGUUUAGCAGCACAAAACCCCCAACAGUAGGCCCAACUCUUCCUGCCAUCCAGGACCUCUAUACCAGGCGGUGUCAGAGGAAGGCCCUCAAAAUUGUCAAAGACUCCAGCCA